ensembl:miRNA
GUAUGUAUGCAUGUGUAUGUGUAUAUAUAUAUAUAUAUAUACACACACACACACACACACACAUGUACUAAAGCCACA